rnacentral:rRNA from 1 species
UACAGAGGUCUCGAGCGUUAGGCGGAAUCACUGGGCUUAAAGCGUGUGUAGGUGGAUGCCUAAGUACCUUGUGAAACUCCCACAGCUUAACUGUGGAACUGCUUGGUAUACUGGGUGUCUUGAGUCAGCUCAGGGGCGAGCGGAACAAAUGGUGGAGCGGUGAAAUGCGUAGAUAUCAUUUGGAACGCCAAUGGUGAAAACAGCUCGCUGGGGGUGCACUGACACUGAGACACGAAAGCCAGGGGAGCGAACGGG